rnacentral:rRNA from 1 species
GACGAACGCUGGCGGCGUGCUUAACACAUGCAAGUCGAAAGAAGUGGCGAACGGGUGAGUAACGCGUAAUCAACCUGCCCUUCAGAGGGGGACAACAGUUGGAAACGACUGCUAAUACCGCAUACUGAAGGAGGGGAUUGCGUUUGAUUAGCUAGUUGGAGGGGUAACGGCCCACCAAGGCGAAGAUCAGUAGCCUGUCUGGGAGGAUGGACUGCCACAUUGGGACUGAGACACCGCCCAAACUCCUACGGGAGGCAGCAGUGGGGAAUCUGCCGCAAUGGCCGACAUUCUGACGGAGCAACGCCGCGUGGGUGAUGGCGGCCUUCGGGUUGUAAAGCUUUUUUAAUCGGGACGCGGUACCGGCAUAGAAAGCCACGGCUAACUACGUGCCAGCCGCCGCGGUAAUUC